rnacentral:rRNA from 1 species
AAGAAACCAACAGGGAUUGCCCUAGUAACGGCGAGUGAAGCGGCAACAGCUCAAAUUUGAAAUCUGGCUUCGGCCCCGAGUUGUAAUUUGCAGAGGAAGCUUUAGGCGCGGCACCUCCUGAGUCCCCUGGAACGGGGCGCCACAGAGGGUGAGAGCCCCGUAUAGUUGGAUGCCUAGCCUGUGUAAAGCUCCUUCGACGAGUCGAGUAGUUUGGGAAUGCUGCUCAAAAUGGGAGGUAAAUUUCUUCUAAAGCUAAAUACCGGCCAGAGACCGAUAGCGCACAAGUAGAGUGAUCGAAAGAUGAAAAGCACUUUGAAAAGAGGGUUAAAUAGCACGUGAAAUUGUUGAAAGGGAAGCGCUUGUGACCAGACUUGCGCCGGGCUGAUCAUCCGGUGUUCUCACCGGUGCACUCUGCCCGGCUCAGGCCAGCAUCGGUUCUCGCGGGGGGAUAAAGGCCCUGGGAACGUAGCUCCUCCGGGAGUGUUAUAGCCCGGGGCGUAAUGCCCUCGCGGGGACCGAGGUUCGCGCUCUGCAAGGAUGCUGGCGUAAUGGUCAUCAGCGACCCGUCUUGAAACACGGACCAAGGAGUCAAGGUUUUGCGCGAGUGUUUGGGUGUAAAACCCGCACGCGUAAUGAAAGUGAACGUAGGUGAGAGCUUCGGCGCAUCAUCGACCGAUCCUGAUGUUCUCGGAUGGAUUUGAGUAGGAGCGUUAAGCCUUGGACCCGAAAGAUGGUGAACUAUGCUUGGAUAGGGUGAAGCCAGAGGAAACUCUGGUGGAGGCUCGCAGCGGUUCUGACGUGCAAAUCGAUCGUCAAAUCUGAGCAUGGGGGGCGAAAGACUAAUCGAACCAUCUAGUA